rnacentral:rRNA from 1 species
GAAUCGUCUGUAGACGACUUAGGUACCGGCCGGGGUGUUGUACUCGGUAGAGCAG